rnacentral:rRNA from 1 species
AGAAUCAACGCUGGCGGCGUGCCUAACACAUGCAAGUCGAACGAGAAAGUGGAGCAAUCCAUGAGUAAAGUGGCGCACGGGUGAGUAACACGUGACUAACCUACCCUUGAGUGGGGGAUAACCUAGGGAAACCUGGGCUAAUACCGCAUAAUACCUUCGGGUCAAAGGAGCAAUUCGCUUUAGGAGGGGGUCGCGGCCGAUUAGUUAGUUGGCGGGGUAAUGGCCCACCAAGACUGUGAUCGGUAUCCGGCCUGAGAGGGCGCACGGACACACUGGAACUGAAACACGGUCCAGACUCCUACGGGAGGCAGCAGUGGGGAAUUUUGCGCAAUGGGGGAAACCCUGACGCAGCAACGCCGCGUGGAGGAUGAAGCCCCUUGGGGCGUAAACUCCUUUCGAUCGGGACGAUAAUGACGGUACCGAGAGAAGAGCCCGGCUAACUUCGCGCCAGCAGCCGC